AGCCAUUUGCGUAGAGUAUCCAGU
rnacentral:siRNA from 1 species